rnacentral:rRNA from 1 species
UACGUAGGGACCGAGCGUUGUCCGGAUUCAUUGGGCGUAAAGAGCUCGUAGGCGGCCACUCAAGUCGAAUGUGAAACCUCGAGGCUUAACCUCGAGCCUGCAUUCGAUACUGGGCGGCUAGAGUCUGGUAGGGGGAUCUGGAAUUCCUGGUGUAGCGGUGAAAUGCGCAGAUAUCAGGAAGAACACCAAUGGCGAAGGCAGCUCUCUGGGACGGUACUGACGCUGAGACGCGAAAGCGUGGGGAGCAAACAGG